CUUGAAACCCUGCAGCUUUUCUGCUCUUGAUUACAGCUCACCUGUGCCCCAAAACACAAGCCCACCCGUGGGCAGGGUCAGGCCUGGCAGCUGAUGACUGAGGAAGGCUGUUGUGUUGGGACCCCACGGCAGCAUGACAGUGAAGGAAAAUUCAGCGAUGUACCCAGAGUCCCGCAGUCUCCAUGCGAAGGUUAUGUGUGCUCUGAUCGGCGUGUCCUCCGGAGAAGGCAAAGGAUGCACGGAAAUGUUGUCCUGUUUGCGGAAAAAAAGACCAAGAGCUGUUCCCUGAAUGCAAAACCUCCAUUGAUUGCCAUGGGAAUAUUCUGCAUGGAAAGGCAGUGGGAGCUGUGCCUUUAACAGGAAGCAGCAGUGAUAGUCAGUGAUGUUGCUGUCUGCACAGAAAUAAAGUGCUA
rnacentral:lncRNA from 1 species